GUGGGGAAUCUUCCACAAUGGACGAAAGUCUGAUGGAGCAACGCCGCAUGAGUGAAGAAGGUUUUCGAAUCGUAAAGCUCUGUUGUCGGGGACGAAUGUUGAGACCGAGAAUAUUGGUUUCAAAUGACGGUACCUGACGAGGAAGCCACGGCUAACUACGUGCCAGCAGCCGCGGUAAUACGUAGGUGGCGAGCGUUGUCCGGAAUUAUUGGGCGUAAAGGGAGCGCAGGUGGGAAAGUAAGUCUGUCUUAAAAGUGCGGGGCUCAACCCCGUGAUGGGAUAGAAACUAUUUUUCUUGAGUGCAGGAGAGGAAAGCGGAAUUCCUAGUGUAGCGGUGAAAUGCGUAGAUAUUAGGAGGAACACCAGUGGCGAAGGCGGCUUUCUGGACGGUGUCUGACACUGAGGCGCGAAAGCCAGGGGAGCGAACGGGAUUAGAAACCCUUGUAGUCC
rnacentral:rRNA from 1 species